UACGAAGGGGGCUAGCGUUGCUCGGAAUGACUGGGCGUAAAGGGCGCGUAGGCGGACGGCUUUGUCGGGCGUGAAAUUCCAGGGCUUAACCUUGGGGCUGCGUUCGAGACGGGUUGUCUAGAGUUUGGAAGAGGGUCGUGGAAUUCCCAGUGUAGAGGUGAAAUUCGUAGAUAUUGGGAAGAACACCGGUGGCGAAGGCGGCCUUCUGGACCAAUACUGACGCUCAUGCACGAAAGCGUGGGGAGCAAACAGG
rnacentral:rRNA from 1 species